rnacentral:lncRNA from 1 species
CCUCCCUCCACACAGUCGGCAGCUCCGCAAAUUGGAUAAGCGCAUUAGCACUUCCACAUUAAUUAAUUUCCUGUUGCUUAUAUAAGCUGUGAGAUUUCUGUUCUUGUGAUGGUCCCUUUAGGUAAGUUUAUCUACUAACAAAUUAAAUCCCAUUACACCAAAUUACACUGGAAGUCAACCUGGAGAGCUAGUCAAAGGCUUGCCUCCACCCUGGCCCUGGAUAAUCUCCUGCCAUGAAGAAGUAGGGGAGGGAAGGCUGGUGACUGAGGUGCCCAUCACACUAAACUUCAGAGAGGGUGGACAAGAAGCCGCUCUGAGAGCCUGGCCCACAACCUCUUCUCCACGUCUCUCAGCUGUGGGGAAGCCCAGCAGACAAAUGAGCCCGAACAGCCGGCCUCCUCCCCCAACACAGGCAACACCAGGGUCACCUCUUGCUCUGAGACGUGACAUCACACAGGCGGUCUGCGUCACCUCCUUUGGCACCGUGGGGCAACAGAGAAGAGCAAAGCCCACACAGCACGGAGAAGAGCCCGCCGUUGAGGGGUCCAGGGCAACUUUGCCCACCCGGCAGGGUGUAAAGCUGUGGUUGCCAUGAGCCACUCCAUUUUGAGUCCAUGUGCCAAGGUGCAAUGACUCCACAUCUUGUUUAAACAAGUAAACAGCCACCACCUGCCCAGCACAACCGUAAGACACAGAGAUGUGCCAACUCAUCCAACUAAAUCAGGCGCAUCUGGACACACCAUAUCAGAAACAUCAGAUGAUCCACCCCCCAGGACAAGCAUACGGAGGUGCCCCCAAGUUUGGACACCGUGAAACCUAUCCCUGUCAACUGUGUACCUGUCAGGAGCCUCACCCAGGAAAACUGCCACAGCAGGGAACCCAGCAGAGCAGGGUUUCUCCCGCCUGUGACAACCACCAUGGCCCACUCCACGCUGACACCCAGCUGAUGCUCUGAGACCGAAACUGCUCACAUCCAGGUCCUCGGCCUGGACCCCUCUGGGAACCGUUCCUUGUCUGCCCACCCAGGCACUCCUCCACCCUGCACUCCUGCCUCUGCC